rnacentral:rRNA from 1 species
UACGAAGGGGGCUAGCGUUGCUCGGAUUUACUGGGCGUAAAGCGCACGUAGGCGGAUCGUCAAGUCGGGGGUGAAAUCCUGGAGCUCAACUCCAGAACUGCCUUCGAUACUGGCGAUCUAGAGUCCGGAAGAGGUGAGUGGAACUCCUAGUGUAGAGGUGGAAUUCGUAGAUAUUAGGAAGAACACCAGUGGCGAAGGCGGCUCACUGGUCCGGUACUGACGCUGAGGUGCGAAAGCGUGGGGAGCGAACGGG